AUACACGUGCACUUCACUACAGGAUCAUAAAGACAAGUGUUUUAGAUAAGUUAAAGGAAGGGCCCGAAUAUCCACAUGAGAAAUUCCUCUUUUUUCAAAGAUAAGAUCCGACUCCAAGAUUGCACAUUUAAUAACCCAUUAUUCAAUAUUAUGAUUUAAUUAUUUUGAAAAAUAAGUAAUUGGAUUGAAGAUAUAAUUAUUUAUUCAUAAGUUGAAACUUUUCCAUCAACUGGA
rnacentral:misc_RNA from 1 species